UUAUUGGGGUUAAAGAGUUUGUAGGCGGUUUGUCGCGUUUGGUGUGAAAUCCGGAGGCUCAACUUCCGGCCUGCAGUGGGUACGGGCAGACUAGAGUGCGGUAGGGGAGAUUGGAAUUCCUGGUGUAGCGGUGGAAUGCGCAGAUAUCAGGAGGAACACCGAUGGCGAAGGCAGAUCUCUGGGCCGUAACUGACGCUGAGGAGCGAAAGGGUGGGGAGCAAACAGGCUUAGAUACCCUGGUAGUCCACCCCGUAAACGUUGGGAACUAGUUGUGGGGUCCAUUCCACGGAUUCCGUGACGCAGCUAACGCAUUAAGUUCCCCGCCUGGGGAGUACGGCCGCAAGGCUAAAACUCAAAGGAAUUGACGGGGACCCGCACAAGCGGCGGAGCAUGCGGAUUAAUUCGAUGCAACGCGAAGAACCUUACCAAGGCUUGACAUAUACGAGAACGGGCCAGAAAUGGUCAACUCUUUGGACACUCGUAAACAGGUGGUGCAUGGUUGUCGUCAGCUCGUGUCGUGAGAUGUUGGGUUAAGUCCCGCAACGAGCGCAACCCUCGUUCUAUGUUGCCAGCACGUAAUGGUGGGAACUCAUGGGAUACUGCCGGGGUCAACUCGGAGGAAGGUGGGGAUGACGUCAAAUCAUCAUGCCCCUUAUGUCUUGGGCUUCACGCAUGCUACAAUGGCCGGUACAAAGGGCUGCAAUACCGCGAGGUGGAGCGAAUCCCAAAAAGCCGGUCCCAGUUCGGAUUGAGGUCUGCAACUCGACCUCAGAAGUCGGAGUC
rnacentral:rRNA from 1 species